rnacentral:rRNA from 1 species
CUGGACUAUUUUAUUACCCUUGUCUUUUGCGCACUUGUUGUUUCCUGGGCGAGUUCGCUCGCCACCAGGACCACAAUAUAAACCUUUUUUAUGCAGUUGCAAUCAGCGUCAGUAUAACAAAUGUAAAUCAUUUACAACUUUCAACAACGGAUCUCUUGGUUCUGGCAUCGAUGAAGAACGCAGCGAAAUGCGAUACGUAGUGUGAAUUGCAGAAUUCAGUGAAUCAUCGAAUCUUUGAACGCACAUUGCGCCCUUUGGUAUUCCAAAGGGCAUGCCUGUUCGAGCGUCAUUUGUACCCUCAAGCUUUGCUUGGUGUUGGGCGUUUUUGUCUCUGGUUUGCCCAAAGACUCGCCUUAAAACGAUUGGCAGCCGGCCUACUGGUUUCGCAGCGCAGCACAUUUUUGCGCUUGCAAUCAGCAAAAGAGGACGGCAAUCCAUCAAGACUCCUUCUCACGUUUGACCUCGGAUCAGGUAGGGAUACCCGCUGAACUUAAGCAUAUCAA